GCUCAGACAGCUAGGAGGUUGGCUUAGAAGCAGCCACCCUUUAAAGAAAGCGUAAUAGCUCACUAGUCGAGUCGGCCUGCGCGGAAGAUAUAACGGGGCUCAAACAUGGUACCGAAGCUACGGACUUGCACUUGUGCAAGUGGUAGAGGAGCGUUCUGUAAGCCGUUGAAGGUGGAUUGAGAAGUCUGCUGGAGGUAUCAGAAGUGCGAAUGCUGACAUGAGUAACGAUAAUGCGAGUGAAAAACUCGCACGCCGAAAGACCAAGGGUUCCUGUCCAACGUUAAUCGGGGCAGGGUGAGUCGGCCCCUAAGGCGAGGCUGAAAAGCGUAGUCGAUGGGAAACGGGUUAAUAUUCCCGUACUUGGGUGUACUGCGAUGGGGGGACGGAGAAGGCUAGGCCAUCCGGGCGUUGGUUGUCCCGGUUCAAGCAGGUAGGCUGAGAUCUUAGGAAAAUCCGGGAUCUUAAGGCUGAGAUGCGAUGACGGUGAGACUACGGUCUCCGAAGUGGUUGAUGCCCAGCUUCCAGGAAAAGCCUCUAAGCUUCAGGUACCCCGAAACCGUACCCGAAACCGACACAGGUGGUCAGGUAGAGAAUA
rnacentral:rRNA from 17 species